GACGAACGCUGGCGGCGUGCCUAAUACAUGCAAGUCGAGCGGACCUCUUCGGAGGUCAGCGGCGGACGGGUGAGUAACACGUGGGCAACCUGCCUGUAAGACUGGGAUAACACCGGGAAACCGGUGCUAAUACCGGAUAAUUCUUUUCCUCACAUGGGGAAAAGCUGAAAGACGGCAUCUCGCUGUCACUUACAGAUGGGCCCGCGGCGCAUUAGCUAGUUGGUGGGGUAACGGCCACCCAAGGCGACGAUGCGUAGCCGACCUGAGAGGGUGAUGGGCCACACUGGGACUGAGACACGGCCCAGACUCCUACGGGAGGCAGCAGAAGGGAAUCUUCCGCAAUGGACGAAAGUCUGACGGAGCAACGCCGCGUGAGCGAAGAAGGCCUUCGGGUCGUAAAGCUCUGUUGUCAGGGAAGAAAAAGUAUCGGAGUAACUGCCGGUACCUUGACGGUACCUGACCAGAAAGCCACGGCUAACUACGUGCCAGCAGCCGCAGUAACAC
rnacentral:rRNA from 1 species